rnacentral:rRNA from 1 species
ACGAAGUCCAGUUGAGUUAAGGGAUUCAUAUACUUUAGAAGGCUUUGGGUUGAUCAUAUGUUCUUCAUUAGAAGAGAUUUUCAGCUCAACAAGUCGACUAAAUGAUGCAUUUCUCUUGCUCACGAUGGAGCUCUGACUGCUUAGCAUGUUCAUUUAUGAGCUUGACUAAAUGAUCUAGACCUUCGGGCUCUAAACUUAUUUAGUCAAGUGAAAUAUAAAUGAAUCGUUGAGUAGGUGAAUUUCUUACAAUUGUAAGUGUUCAGAUUGUGUUUAUUGAUCAAAGAGAAUAUGUUUUGGUAGUAUGUUAUUCUUGACUUGUGCUUGAAAACAUGUUACAUCUAGGCAUAUGCAUCUCUUUCAUCUUGUAAGCAUACAUGAUCCAGAGUAAGUAGGUCGGUCAUCCAUCUGACCCGUCUUGAAACACGGACCAAGGAGCCCAACAUAUAUGCGAGUCGCACAGUCUUGUUUAGGCUUGUGAGGCGAAAUAAACAUAAUGUUGUGACUGUUUUUCAUUCAACCGAACAACAAGCAACAACAACCUGUUUCAUCUUUGUUUUAUAAGUGAAACGGCGUUUGAGCAUACAUGUUGGUACCCGAAAGAUGGUGAACUAUACUUGGGCAAGACGAAGCCAGAGGAAACUCUGGUGGAGGUCUGUAGCGAUUCUGACGUGCAAAUCGAUCGUCAGACCUGAGUAUA